CUACGGGCGGCUGCAGUGAGGAAUAUUGCACAAUGGGGGGAACCCUGAUGCAGCAACGCCGCGUGGAGGAUGACGCAUUUCGGUGUGUAAACUCCUUUUAUAUGUCAAGAAAAUGACGGUAGCAUAUGAAUAAGCACCGGCUAACUCCGUGCCAGCAGCCGCGGUAAUACGGAGGGUGCAAGCGUUACUCGGAAUCACUGGGCGUAAAGGACGCGUAGGCGGGUUGGAAAGUCAGGUGUGAAAUCCUACAGCUUAACUGUAGAACUGCACUUGAAACUUCUAAUCUAGAGUAUGGGAGGGGGAGAUGGAAUUAGUGGUGUAGGGGUAACAUCCGUAGAUAUCACUAGGAAUACCUAAAGCGAAGGCGAUCUCCUGGAACAUUACUGACGCUAAGGCGUGAAAGCGCGGGGAGCAAACAGGAUUAGAUACCCCCGUAGUC
rnacentral:rRNA from 1 species